rnacentral:rRNA from 1 species
GUCCACGCCCUAAACCAUGUCAACUGGGUGUUGGGGAAGCGAUUCCAUAGUACCGCAGCUAACGCGUGAAGUUGACCGCAUGGGGAGUACGGCCGCAAGGUUAAAACUCAAAGGAAUUGACGGGGACCCGCACAAGCGGUGGAUGAUGUGGAUUAAUUCGAUGCAACGCGAACAACCUUACCUACACUUGACAUGUGCCGGAGCCUGCUGAGAGGCGGGUGUGCCCGAAAGGGAACGGCAACACAGGUGCUGCAUGGCUGUCGU